rnacentral:rRNA from 1 species
AGCUAACGCAUUAAGUGUACCGCCUGGGGAGUACGGUCGCAAGAUUAAAACUCAAAGGAAUAGACGGGGACCCGCACAAGCGGUGGAGCAUGUGGUUUAAUUCGAAGAUACGCGAAGAACCUUACCUGGGCUUGAUAUCCUAAGAACCUUUUAGAGAUAAGAGGGUGCUAGCUUGCUAGAACUUAGAGACAGGUGCUGCACGGCUGUCGUCAGCUCGUGUCGUGAGAUGUUGGGUUAAGUCCCGCAACGAGCGCAACCCACGUAUUUAGUUGCUAACGGUUCGGCCGAGCACUCUAAAUAGACUGCCUUCGUAAGGAGGAGGAAGGUGUGGACGACGUCAAGUCAUCAUGGCCCUUAUGCCCAGGGCGACACACGUGCUACAAUGGCAUAUACAAUGAGACGCAAUACCGUGAGGUGGAGCAAAUCUAUAAAAUAUGUCCCAGUUCGGAUUGUUCUCUGCAACUCGAGAGCAUGAAGCCGGAAUCGCUAGUAAUCGUAGAUCAGCCAUGCUACGGUGAAUACGUUCCCGGGUCUUGUACUCACCGCCCGUCACACCAUGGGAGUUGAUUUCACUCGAAGCCGGAAUACUAAACUAGUUACCGUCCACAGUGGAAUCAGCGACUGGGGUGAAGUCGUAACAAGGUAACCGUAGGAGAACCUGCGGUUGGAUCACCUCCUUUCUA